rnacentral:sRNA from 1 species
AUAUAGAAUUAGGAAGAAGAUGCAAAAAAAAAUGAAAAAAAAA